rnacentral:lncRNA from 1 species
CGACGAUAGAGUAAAUUUUACUCUUGACUUAACCAAAGUCUUUACCAGUGUUUUUACCAGUGUUUUACCAGUGUCUUUGCCAGUGUCUUUGCCAGUGAUUCCACCAGUAUUUAUUAUAUCACUUGUAUCGUCUUUUUGGCUCAUCAGGUAAGCUGGUAAAGAGGGGAAUAAGGGAGAAAGAGGGUGAGAAGUCGGAAAGCUAAGUAUUUUAAUGAGUGAGACUGUGAGAAGGGAAAAAGAGGCGAGGAGGAGUUGAGUCCAUAUUUUGGCAACAACCAAAUAGGAAACCUUAUCCGUCCAUAACAACACACAAGUUAAACAUGUCUUGUGCUUCACCAACAAUAACCAGUCUACUGAUGGUGAUUAUUGUUCAACUUGUAUUUAUCUGUAUUUGGUUUGAUUUAAUUGUUUUAGCUGCUGCCUCAACCAUCAAUAAAUCAUCUCCAUUAUCAUCACCCUCAUCAUCACCCUCACCAUCAACCUCAUCAUCACCAUCAUCUUCACCAUCGUCAUUAUCAUCAUCACAACCAUCUUUACUCUUUAGUGCUUCUUCUCCUUCAUCUUCUCCUCCAUCUACCUUUAGUGUUCGAUGUCCUUUACCACAUCUAAUACAACCAUGUGACUGUGUUGAGAUUGAAAAAGGUGGUGAUAGUGAAUUCAAUGAAGUUACAUCUUUGGGUUUAACCAACGAUACAAGUACCAAUGAUACAGAAGGUGG